AUGGCGUUCGACGAAGCGCUCGGGCGGCUGCGCGCGUUCGACGAGCGAGUUCGGCGUCGACGGCAGGAUAGCAGCGAGCGGGCGGAUGGACAACUCCCGUUCACGGCGGCACAGUGGCGGGCGCGAGAGUGGCAGCAAGGCGGAGCACGGGAUGACGACGACGAGCACAGCGUGGUGUCGGGGAGCGGCGACAACAGGCGCAAGCGCUGCUACAAGUGCGGGGAGCACGGGCACUUCCGACGUGAGUGCCCGCAGCUGCGGAAAGGACCGGCAGCGGAGCCUGCUCUCUUGGCCGGUGCCAACGACGACGACGACGGACUCCUCUAG
rnacentral:rRNA from 1 species